rnacentral:sRNA from 1 species
CCCGCGCCAUGACCCAGCCGGUGCCCCGGCUCUCCGUGCCCGCCGCGCUGGCCCUGGGCUCAGCCGCGCUGGGCGCCGCCUUCGCCACUGGCCUCUUCCUGGGCCGAGGCGGAGCACAAGAUCGACCUCCGGCUGAAGCCCGCCUUGGAGACCCUGGACGAGCUGCUGGCGGCGGGCGAGGCCGGCACCUUCGACGUGGCCGUGGUGGAUGCGGACAAGGAGAACUGCUCCGCCUACUACGAGCGCUGCCUGCAGCUGCUGCGACCCGGAGGCAUCCUCGCCGUCCUCAGAGUCCUGUGGCGCGGGAAGGUGCUGCAACCUCCGAAAGGGGACGUGGCGGCCGAGUGUGUGCGAAACCUAAACGAACGCAUCCGGCGGGACGUCAGGGUCUACAUCAGCCUCCUGCCCCUGGGCGAUGGCCUCACCUUGGCCUUCAAGAUCUAGGGCUGGCCCCUAGUGAGUGGGCUCGAGGGGGGCUUGCCUGGGAACCCCAGGAAUUGACCCUGAGUUUUAAAUUCGAAAAUAAAGUGGGGCUGGGA